rnacentral:lncRNA from 1 species
GCGCUUUUAACUGCUUGUGGUUGAGUGGCAGCAUGAGCGAGCUCUGCGUAUUCCAACCCGGCGUUAAGAAUCCUUCACUAGCUUUUCUUCCCGACGCUGCUUAUUUAUCUAUCGGUAGCAUGACGGGUAAUUGACGCCCUCGGAUGGCUUUGAGGUCGCCAUUUUUGGUUGGUGCCUUUGUCUUGGUGUCAGGACUGGGAUAUCAUCUGGGACACAUUACCCCACAGGUAUCCUGUUGGACCUCAACGAGGAAGUUGGCAACAGAGGAACCAGGAGAUGAGAGAGAUCGGAAGUUUGCAACCUAGAGUGGGAAACAGACCAUUAGCAACUGCACAAAAGGGUGAUAGAAGAGAAUACUGGAAUAAGCCAGACUUAUCUAGCUGGCUGAUGGCCUGAGCCAUGGUCUUCAGUAAGGAAAACACUUACUCAAGGACCAAGAUGGCCAAGGUGGCUGGAGCUUUGGUAACCGGGAAAGACAAUGAGUUUGGAGAGGUAGGCAGGGGUUUGUUAUAGUCUGGACCUUUUAGCCUAGACUAUGAUGGGGACUUGAGAUUAUAUUCAGUAUGCAAUGGGAAGGUGUUGGAAGAACGGUGAAAUUAUGGCGAUUGUUAAAUGAUACAGGGUGAGACACUGUCUCUAAAAAAAAAAAAAAAAAAUUAGCCUCAGCAUGGUGGUGUGUACCUGUAGUCCCAGCCACUCAGGAGACUGACAGGCAGGAGGAUCUGCUUGAGCCUAGGAGUUCCAGGCUGCAGUGAGCUAUGAUUGCACCACUGCAUUCCAGCCUGGACAACAGAGCAACACACUGUCUCAGGAAAAAAGACAGAGAGAGAGAUAACACUGGUGGAUGAUAGGAAGAGCAAUUGACAGCACCAUCUCUGGGCUUCUCACAAGUUUAUACAACACAUCUGCUUCCUAUUACAAUGCAGAUACCUACAGCCGCUGAGAGCCGGUAUUCCAACGCCAUGAGACGCCUUCUGUCGUGAGCAGUUGACAAGAAAGACCCAGCACUUACUGCAACCGGAAGGAGCGGUUCCUCCCUCGCUCGCGCAGCCGCUCUUCCCCGCCACUCCCUCGGUGCCCGCCAGCACAUUCCCAGCAAGCCCUGAGUAUAUUUGCAUAUCAACUCACUACAUUUUUUUCUUCUAACUAAAAAAUCGAAAGGACAAAUUCCAGAUUCUCCUUGUGAAGUCUUCCUUUCAGUUCAGAAGAAAUGGAAUUCGCUCUUCAACUUCAGGAAGUUGAAAUAAAGAGUUGCUUGGAUUUUGUGUUCACCUUUACCAAAAAAUGGAUUUGGUAACACUGCCACCCUGCU